rnacentral:rRNA from 1 species
GAUUCCCCUAGUAACUGCGAGUGAAGCGGGAAAAGCUCAAAUUUAAAAUCUGGUAGUCUUUGGCUGCCCGAGUUGUAAUCUAGAGAAGUGUUACCCGUGCUGGACCGUGUACAAGUCUCCUGGAAUGGAGCGUCAUAGAGGGUGAGAAUCCCGUCUUUGACACGGACUGCCAGUGCAUUGUGGUGCGCUCUCAACGAGUCGAGUUGUUUGGGAAUGCAGCUCAAAAUGGGUGGUGAAUUCCAUCUAAAGCUAAAUAUUGGCGAGAGACCGAUAGCGAACAAGUACCGUGAGGGAAAGAUGAAAAGAACUUUGGAAAGAGAGUUAAACAGUACGUGAAAUUGUUGAAAGGGAAACGCUUGAAGUCAGUCGCGUUGUCCGGAAAUCAACCUUGGUUCUCCUGGGUGUACUUUCUGGUUAACGGGUCAGCAUCAGUUUUGAUCGAUGGAAAAAGUCCAAGGGAAUGUGGCAUCUUCGGAUGUGUUAUAGCCCUUGGUCGUAUGCAUCGGUUGGGACUGAGGAAUUCAGCACGCCGCAAGGCCGGGGUUCGCCCACGUACGUGCUUAGGAUGCUGGCAUAAUGGCUUUAAUCGACCCGUCUUGAAACACGGACCAAGGAGUCUAACAUGCUUGCGAGUGUUUGGGUGGAAAACCCGAGCGCGAAAUUAACGUGAAAGUCAAGAUCUCUGUCGCGGAGAGCAUUGACCCCCANACCAGAAGUUUACGGACGGCCUGCGGUAAAGCACGUAUGUUGGGACCCGAAAGAUGGUGANCUAUGCCUGAAUAGGGUGAAGCCAGAGGAAACUCUGGUGGAGGCUCGUAGC